CUGCCUGCUUACGCCAUGAUGUUCGCCCGACGCACACCGAGUGUUGGCCAGGAUGGCACGCGGACUAAACCGCCUUCGUUCCGCAGUGAGCGUUGAGCUCAGACAAAUAGAUAGACCGGUACACAGCGAACGCAAGGACAGCCCUCUCAUUGGCAACUCGAGGGCAGCAAAAGAGCACGUGGCGAGGUGAUUCGUCCACAAAGCAACAGCGGCAAAGGGGCGAAUCC